rnacentral:rRNA from 1 species
GACAGAGGAUGCAAGCGUUAUCCGGAAUGAUUGGGCGUAAAGCGUCUGUAGGUGGCUUUUUAAGUCCGCCGUCAAAUCCCAGGGCUCAACCCUGGACAGGCGGUGGAAACUACCAAGCUGGAGUACGGUAGGGGCAGAGGGAAUUUCCGGUGGAGCGGUGAAAUGCGCAGAUAUCAGGAGGAACACCCGUAGCGAAGGCGGCACUCUGGGCCGAUACUGACACUGAGGAGCGAAAGCGUGGGGAGCGAACAGG